rnacentral:rRNA from 1 species
GAUGAACGCUGGCGGCGUGCCUAAUACAUGCGAGUCGAGCGAACAGACGAGGAGCUUGCUCCUCUGACGUUAGCGGCGGACGGGUGAGUAACACGUGGAUAACCUACCUAUAAGACUGGGAUAACUUCGGGAAACCGGAGCUAAUACCGGAUAAUAUAUUGAACCGCAUGGUUCAAUAGUGAAAGACGGUUUUGCUGUCACUUAUAGAUGGAUCCGCGCCGCAUUAGCUAGUUGGUAAGGUAACGGCUUACCAAGGCAACGAUGCGUAGCCGACCUGAGAGGGUGAUCGGCCACACUGGAACUGAAACACGGUCCAGACUCCUACGGGACGCAGCAGUGGGGAAUCUUCCGCAAUGGGCGAAAGCCUGACGGAGCCACGCCGCGUGAGUGAUGAAGGUCUUCGGAUCGUAAAACUCUGUUUUUAGGGAAGAACAAAUGUGUAAGUAACUAUGCACGUCUUGACGGUACCUAAUCAGAAAGCCACGGCUAACUACGUG